GCGCGCUGGAUGUGCCCCGCUGGUGCUCCUGUUCCGCCGGAGGUCGCCGGCCGAGGCGGCAGGACCGGGAUGAGAAGAGGCUGGGAGCGAAGCACGGCUGCGGGUCUCCUCCGUGAAGUUUUCUCCUUAAAGGGAAGGAAAAUGCACCAUCUGUGGCAUAAUUUGUAGCUGCUUAUUUGAGGCAGACUGUUCAGAAGGAAGUAAAUCUUUCCACAUUUUAGAAGGCUUGUGAGGGAAGGAAUUUAUCCACAUUUAGCAGACACUGGGUUGGGCUGUUUGUGUUUCAAGUGAACACUAGCCUCUGCCUCGAGCAGGAUGCAUGGACAUGACCGUCUGGACUUUCAAAGCAGGUCUCUCAGGAAAACAACAAUGCUCUGCAUUGAAGUAGCUACUUACACAUAAAAAGUCAGACAGUAACAUGAAAAGGAUUAUUCAAUGUCAAUGACAGACCUGCAAACAUACGCUUACUUUUAACAAACUCAGGGCUUGAGAAGGAGUGUUUCUGGGCCUCGUUUUAGUGGGGUGCUGUGCACCAACUAACCCCAGCCCUAGAGCAAUGGGGCUGGGUCCUUCCCAUCUGCCCCAUGCUUGUCUUCUCCUACAACUCAAAGAUGUUGCUGCACAGCACCUUCAGGAAAAAAAGACUUCUGAGCAUCAUGGAAGCUAUCUGUUUGCAUGUACAUCCUGUCACCAAGCCACGGCCCCUGCGUGCUUGCACAGAUUUCUCUGGGCCUGGCAGAAAUAAUCAGCGUACAAGAGGGAAAGGAAGAACCCCUAGGCUUCCUCUGGAUCAACAUCAGUGCACACGUUCAUGCUACUUUGGCAACAUAUUGGUGUACCUCACAGAGUACUUCAUGCACAGCAGCAGCACUUGGAUCCUAACAAAGGAAGGUUUCAGUAAUAUAAGCAUGUACAAACACAGGUUUCACACAGGGAUAACACUAUGUAAUUUAAAUGCCUAGACCUGCAACUAUUAAAGUGACUUUUAUUUAGUCUUUUGCUGCAGCUGCUUUACAGAUUUCAUAUACAAAACUUUAGAUAAUGAUAUUUCCACCAAUUUUUUUUAUGGAAAUCAUGAAAAAAUUUUCAGCUUUCUCAUGUGGAUUUCAUUUUUAAUUUGGAAUUGUAAACACAUAUAUGAAUAAGUAACUCCUUGCUUCUAUCCCAGCUGUGUGUUCAAUAAGAACUGUAACAAAUGUCACUCUUAAAGAGAAAACAAGACCCAUCAUAUAAAUUAACAAAACAUAAAAACUUUGCAGCUGGUUUCACACACAAUCUCUCACACUUCAUCAUGCCUUUAAAGUGAAAAUAUUUCGUAAGAAAAACUAAAAGGACUUCUUUUUGAGAGCUCCUUGGCUGUCUGAUGAUGUCUGCCAGGUGCCAGUAGGUGAAAUGAAACUCAGUUGGCAGAAAACACUUGAACUCCUCCCACUCAUCCUUCUUGUCCCAUGACACCAUUCCCACUUUCAGGCUGUGGCCAGGCACGAAAUGUGUCUGACUUCUCUGACUGCUUCUUGUCUGUGGUUAAGAGGUUGACAAUACCAUCCCCUCUGGCUUCAGAAGUAUUUCCCCCAGACAGUCCAUCCAAGAACAGGCAAGAAGCUCUCAUUCCAUGACAUAUAGGAAGCACCAGCCCUCACAAGUGUUGUCCAUGAACUGUCUCAAUAAAAAUGCACUUGGUCCAGAAAAGCAGAUUCACAGGGAGAAAGAAAAAAAGGAAAAGGACUGCCACAUAGGCAAACGACCAGUUUUGGAACUCAGUGGGUUUGAUUCUGUUUCAUCUUUUCUCCUGUGAGUUGGAGAAGGAAAAGGCAAAAAGGCUCAGCUUCAUCAUGGUCUCUGUGUAAGAGAAGACCCUUUCAGUCAGGAAAUUAUCACAACCUCCUUAAGAUGAUGAUAUCUGAGGACUAAGCCUGCCUCGCAGGGCUGUAUUGCAGUCCUGAGGGAUGUGAUUUAGAAAGGUGGUUGUGCCAGCCCAUGUAGACGAGUGCUUCCUAUGACAAAGAGAAAAUCCUUUUCAGACACAGCACAAUAACAUCCCUCUCUUUCCAUUCUUCAGCAAAGCUCCCGGUCCUCUCUCAUCAGCCUUGAAGACUCUCUAUACAUUGUCAUACAUGUCUUCCUUGUUCACCUCUCCCUCAGCCAUCUCUUUGCUAUUUUUCAGACUGUUCCCUAUUUCAGGAAACCAGUACUGCUAUUCCAGCUUGAUAUGCCUGAGGAACCACUUCUACAACCUCUAUCCACAGCCCACGAGUGAACAGUGCUCAUGCACAAGAAGAGGAUGACUUCAAAAGCAGAAAUUACGUGAAAUGAAAAAUAAAAUUGGCAGUGAAGGAAAGGUGGCAGGAGGAGAAUCUUAUUUAUUUAACCUGUAAUUAAGUGUAUUAAUGAAAGUGAUGUUUAUCUUCUUCCAUUUGCAUUUCACUCUAAUCAAAAAGUAGUUUUAAAUGCCAAUAAAAAAUACUUUUACAAAAAUACAUAGAAUUAUUUGCAGGUGGGUGGUGCUUGUGAUGACUGAGAGUGGCAGAAUUCAGACCCUGUGUUUUGUACUCUCUUAUCAAAAGCCAGAAGCACAUCUUUCUACUUGCUUUAGGAAAAAAAAUUCUAUCAAAGCCACAAUGCAAUUGGAAAAUAAUCAUAGAAUCAUAGAAUCAUAGAAUUGGUUGGAAGGAACCUUUAAGAUCAUGUAGUUCCAAGCUCCCUGACAUGGACAGGGACACAUUUCACUAAACCAGUUUGCUCAGAGCUCCAUCCAGCCUGGCCUUGAACACCUCCAUAUGUGGAGCAUCCACAACUUCUCUGGAAAACCUG